AAUAAAUUCCUUAAAGAGAAAAGCAGAACAGGAGCAAAUUAACUUGCCAUUCACAAGAACCCACUUUCUCAUUUUUCUUUCCCAGACAAUUUCAUGUAAUAAUCAUAUUGCUAUUAUGAUAUAGAGAGAAUAAGUGCAUCUACUGCCACAGCAAUGAUUACUGAUCAUUAGCUGCAUGGCAAUAUGAGAAAAAGUUGAAAAACAACUCAAAAGCUCCUCCAUUUUAUGGUAUCUUCUCCUAAAUGUCAGACCAAGCAGGAUAUUUG
rnacentral:lncRNA from 1 species